rnacentral:rRNA from 1 species
AGGAUAAACGCUGGCGGCGUGCCUAACACAUGCAAGUCGAACGUCUCUUCUUUCGGGAAGAGGAGUGGCGGACGGGUGAGGAACACGUGGGAACCUGCCCUUCAGUGAGGAAUACCGGCGAGAAAUCGCCGACAAGACCGCAUAGCCCUCUCUGGUGAGAGCCAGAGAAGGAAAGCCUCGCAAGAGGCGCUGGAGGAGGGGCCUGCGUCCGAUUAGCUAGUUGGUGGGGUAAGAGCCUACCAAGGCGUCGAUCGGUAGCUGGUCUGAGAGGACGAUCAGCCACACUGGGAUUGAGAACGGCCCAGACUCCUACGGGGGCAGCAGUGAGGAAUUUUCGGCAAUGGGGAAACCCUGACCGAGCAACGCCGCGUGCAGGAAGACGGCCUUCGGUUGUAAACUGCUUUCUUUGGGACGAGCAAGGACGGUACCAGAGGAAUCAGCCCGGCUCACUACGUGCCAGCAGCCGC